AAAUGCAGACAACCAGAAUCCUUACAACAAUUAAGUGGAAAUCACGGUGUAAGAAACAUUACCACCUCAAAGAGUAAAAGCCUCAAAAGAAAUGUGACUUGUAACAGGCCAGCAGCUGUGUGUUUUCGGUGAAGCACCAGGUAGAGUAUAAACCUGGAUUGCACAGUUAAUGGGGAAACGGGAGGGUCCUGGUCCUUGGGAGGGAAAAAAAAAGUAUAUAAACUGUGUAUGGAAUCGGUAGGUGCCCUCCUGCUUGCGGGACACCCGCCAUUGUAAUCUCAAAUACAAAUGCUACUGUACUGAGAUCCUC